GACGAACGCUGGCGGCGUGCCUAAUACAUGCAAGUCGAACGGAGUUGGGAAAGGGUGAGUAACGCGUAGGUAACUGCCCCAUAGCGGGGGAUUACUAUUGGAAACGGUAGCUAAUACCGCAUACUGUGAGAUAUACCUGCGUUGUAUUUGCUAGUUGGUGAGGUCAAGGGUCACCAAGGCGAAGAGACCUAGCCGACCUGUGAGGGUGAUUGGCCAAAUUGGGAAUGGGCAACGGCCCAGAACCCUACGGGAGGCAGCAGUAGGGAAUCUUCGGCAAUUGACGGAAGUCUUACCGAACAACGCCGGGUGAGUGAAGAAGGUUUUCGGAUUGGAAAGCUCUGUUGUUAGAGAAGCGGUAACUAACCAGAAAGGGACGGCUAACUACGUGCCAGCAGCCGCGGUAAUUC
rnacentral:rRNA from 1 species